CGGGUGAGUAAUGUAUGGGGAUCUGCCUGAUGGCGGGGGAUAACUACUGGAAACGGUAGCUAAUACCGCAUAAUGUCUGCGGACCAAAGCGGGGGACCUCCGGGCCUCGCGCCAUCAGAUGAACCCAUAUGGGAUUAGCUAGUAGGUAAGGUAACGGCUUACCUAGGCGACGAUCCCUAGCUGGUCUGAGAGGAUGAUCAGCCACACUGGGACUGAGACACGGCCCAG
rnacentral:rRNA from 1 species